rnacentral:sRNA from 1 species
AAUAAAGGAACUUCUACUAAGAGCGCCACGUCCUGUGGCAACGCAGAAGUUAGCACAUCCUGUGCA